rnacentral:lncRNA from 1 species
ACAAAACGCUUCUGGUGUUCAUUGACAAAUAUCGCACACCGCUUUCCCUUCCAAAAUUCAAUUCGAUCACGCGUACCAUACCUUUCUCUGAUCAUCAAAUUUUACUUUUCUUUCCUCGAUCGUUGAAUUUUCUUUCAGAUUUCUGGUAUUUAGUUACAGAAAAAAGGGACAAUAAUAGAGAAAUUGGAAUGGGUCAGGCCUUUCGCAAGUUAUUUGACACUUUCUUCGGCAAUUCUGAGAUGCGGGUAUGCUAAUUUUCAUUUUUAUUUUUCGAUUUCCGAACACUGUUAAUUUAUUAUGUUGUGUAUUUAUGACAUUUUUUAAUUAAGCUUAUGAACUCUGCUUUGCAGCUUCUAGCCUAGCUUGACAAAUAUUGCUGCUUUGCGUUUUGAUUGUCC